UUCUCAAGUUCGGGGUCGCGGCAUUUGGAUUUCUAGGGCUCUUGCUGGGGAGUGAGGGAGCGGCGCGAUUCUCCCCUUACAUUUUAUGCGUGGAAGGAAUGUGGUGCUUGUCUCACUCUCAUAGGGGUCCUUUGCUGCUCAUGGAGCUCGCUGUGCUUCUCAUAAACGCUAGCGCACGAAAGUCUUAAAUUACUUUGUUACUGCAGGUUUCCAGAGACCUCUUUCUCAAUGCAUUCGCACAGGCCUUGAAAAUUCUGGUGUCUAGUGCUGGAAUUUACGCUGUUACAGUCGGAAGCGACUGUGGAGCUGCGAGAGCUUGUCGAGAAGAACAAUGUUGCCACCAAUGUGUUUUUUUCUUUACAGACUUUUACACUGUUUGACUUGGACCAACGAAAUAUGACCAUUGGCUAGCUAUGUAAUUCUGUUCACUUUUUCGAUGAAUCAUAUAGUUUUUAGUAA